ACAGAUUUGAAAUAUGCCUCAUGAAAUUUCCUAUUCUAGGAAAUUAUAUGAGCCUUUUGGUAUAGCGGCUAUAGCCUACAACGUAGUUAAACAUACCUACACCACCACCGCCUGGCAUCCCUGCAUAUUGUUUCAAUUCCCGCCGGCUGAUGCAUGUCCCCAUUUUCAUGCCUGCGGGUAUAAUCAUUUUUUAUCGAUCCAGGACAAAUUAUUGGCUCUUAUUUGCACCGACCAAAACGCCUCGAUUCUCAUACAGAAAUAUUGCGGAGUAUAUGCAGUCAGUCGGUGGAGAUGGAUACAUGCCUAGUCUGCCUGCCUUUUUGCGAUCGUACUGUAUACACUGUACAGUACGCUUGGGACUCUCCUAGCCUAGUCAUAGGUAUGUCGGUGUGUCUACAACAUUCGAAAGCCCGAAAGUACCUACGGGACCUUCAUUUAGUUAGCCGAGUUAUUCAUCAAGGCGAAAUACUCUAUUUCUGGUCAAGAUUCGCUUACUAACUUAACAGUCAACUAACUAGCUAACUAACUAAACUCGACAAGGAUUAACUAACAAGAAGGAAAAAGCAAAGAAAACUAAACCAACGGCCCGCACAAACAGCGCGACCCGACAAUUCGGUGCUCCCCUUGAGACACAAAACUCAAUUACGCCAGCUCAAAUGAAAUACGUACAUACGUAGUUAAGAUUGCCGUAUAUAAAAAUGGCAUAGGUCGAGACUAGGUUUGAUCUUGUACUACGCGUUACUAGAUUGUAUUUAAAGGUAAAAUAGUUUGAUCUUGUGUAACAUCUGCACAUGCUAACUACCGUAGACUACGUCGUUAGCUACUGAUUCCUGGGCAUAACAUAACAUAACGACGUAGUAUAGUCACUCCCUUGAUUGGUUGACAUGGGUUGCUGGAUAGAUCUAGAUGGUCGAUCUAUUGAGGAAUCUACGUACUACGUACUACGUAGCAACUAACAAGUCACCCAAGGAGGAAAGCAGAGACGAAUCGGAAAGAGGACUGUACGAGAAGGACUAGGCAAGAUAACCGAGUCAGAUACUUUUCAGUU
rnacentral:lncRNA from 1 species